rnacentral:rRNA from 1 species
CCUACGGGAGACAGCAGUGGGGAAUAUUGCACAAUGGGGGAAACCCUGAUGCAGCGACGCCGCGUGAGUGAAGAAGUAUUUCGGUAUGUAAAGCUCUAUCAGCAGGGAAGAAGAAAGACGGUACCUGACUAAGCAGCCCCGGCUAACUACGUGCCAGCAGCCGCGGUAAUACGUAGGGGGCAAGCGUUAUCCGGAUUUACUGGGUGGAAAGGGAGCGUAGACGGCGGUGCAAGUCUGAAGUGAAAGCCCAGGGCUCAACCCUGGGACUGCUUUGGAAACUGUGGAGGUAGAGUGCUGGAGAGGUAAGUGGAAUUCCUAGUGUAGCGGUGAAAUGCGUAGAUAUUAGGAGGAACACCAGUGGCGAAGGCGGCUUACUGGACAGUAACUGACGUUGAGGCUCGAAAGCGUGGGGAGCAAACAGGAUUAGAUACCCUAGUAGUC